rnacentral:tRNA from 2 species
CGGAGAUUAGCUCAGAUGGCUAGAGUGCGGCGUUCGGGACGCCGAGGUCGGCGGUUCGAGUCCGCCAUCUCCGA